ensembl:lncRNA
AUGAUUUAUGUGUCAGGCUAAAAGACCUACAGGUGAUACAGAAAGAAAUCUGCUCACAGCUGGCAGCAGCCUAUGCCCCGGGGACCCCUGAGACAUCUCACCAGUUCCAGGUUGGAGACAGUAGACUGCUCUUAGUUCCGGAGAAGGUAGGCUCACUUACAGAAGGCAUUCUAGGGAUGAGAUUUCCAAGCAAAUGAGCGACUACAAUUGGCUGCACACUGGGAAUGUUUAAUAAGUUCACUCCGGAACCGCAGGCUGAGAACCUUGACUUGGACGUGUGAAGAGGAGAGAAGACACCCCACAUGCUAGUUUCCAGAAAAGGUUUCAAGGCUGGUGCAACUAAGACAUGUCAGAGGCUGCUCGAGGCUGCCCUUGCUGGUGCGGUGACUCCCACAGCAUCUUUCGUCUUUCCUGGCCAGUGCGCUCAGCUUGCAGACACGGCUGGGGUCACCACUCCAUGUAAUCCAACUCAGCUGUGGAAGACCGCCCCUGGAAAUGCACUUGAAAUUACAUCUCCCCUCUGGGUUUAUUGUCCUAUUGAUACUUGAGUUGUUCUGAGGAUAUGACUGGCUCCCUUCCUUGCCCCGAGUGGGGCAUCUGUGGUAACUUAAUGCCCUGCGCCCCCAG